UCGAGUAGGAAAUGGCUACCCGUGGAUGGAGUCGAGAACUCAUCACGGCGUGGAGCCACCACUGAGUUAAAUCUCACAUGCACUAUGCUAGGGUUCGAUCUGGGUUAUGUCGGGCCUUGACGAGGACGUCAAGCUAAUUGAGUUGGGGAUAGUGUAACAUCCCAUUAGUCCCACAUCGGAAGUGGGGAAUGUGUAUGAUUAGCUUAUAAGGGCCUGAUGAGUGUACUACGUUAACUCCCGCUUGAGCAU
rnacentral:lncRNA from 1 species